GUUCAAUCCAAAUUGAGUACCAGUCUUGUUGAGCUUCAGAUUCAGAUACGAGAGUUCAAGUCAGCUUAAGUGGCCAGAAUUUUCAGAAUACUGGGGAUCUAAAAGAUGGAUCUUGGCUAAAGACUGACCUGGGGAUGCAGGGAAGAAGACUCCAAAAUACCUAGAGGAUCUUCUCCUUGCGACUCAAGAUGUUCUUCAUUUUAGAGUGAGACAUUGUCCUUCUGCUAUUUGUAGCUGACUUUGGAACCACCGUUCUUUCCAACUUUGACUUAAAACUUGGCUAUAAAUGUUCAUUAUAUUUGAAAGUUUAUAUUUUGGAGUGUGCUUAUGGCACAUCAUCAUUCAAUCUUGCAUUUGUUGUUUGUUUAUUCCCCUUUCUCAUGCUGUACAAUGUUGAUUCCUUGGGUACAAGAGAUGUAGGAAAUUAGAUUGAAUUAAAUGGAAUAGUCAACG